UAUUAAAUUGUAAAAAAGCGUGGGUUGCCGUUCAGGAUAUUAUCAAAAUAACCCUUCUACUCAUAUCUGUUCAUAAAAUAUUUAUAACUACUGAUACCAUGCACCCCAUGUUUUUUUUUAGUUG